rnacentral:misc_RNA from 1 species
UCGUGUUUUUCACUUUUUGAAAAUCUAGAAGCACAUAUUAAGCUCAUUUAGUUUCAUAUACAAUGAAACAUGCUAUCAUUUUUAUAUUGAUUUAUUAUGAAUAAGUGAUACCUUAAUUUGAUUCCAAUGAGGAACUAUUGAUUGCUAUGGUGUAUAUAUAAUUGACUUAUUAUAUAAACGGUUAAUUAGUGUUGUUAAAGGUGAGGUUAGGCUCCAGGUGAGGCAUUGUGCGAGGCCAGUUGAUCCCCUUACACCUCGCCUGGCUGAGGCGAGUGGGCAUGUGCUGAGGCAAGCUCAAAGUUCAAAAACUAAGCAAGCUCAAAACUAAGGUUUUGAGGCUGAGGUUAUGUGCUUAGUAAUUUUGCGCUUACUUCAAUGAAGCAAGCACUUUUUUUGCACUUUGCGCUUUAGGCGAUGGGGUGAUACAUAGCUUUGAGUGCACCUUAUACUUUUAACUACCUUGCCUUUAGGGCAUUAUUUGAUUUGGUGAAUACCCACCCUAAUGCUAAUGGACAGGGGUGCAUGACGCCGUAUCCAACUUGAACCCAACUUGUAUGCUUGUUUAUAUGUUUUA